GAUGAACGCUGGCGGCGUGCCUAAUACAUGCAAGUCGAGCGAACAGACGAGGAGCUUGCUCCUCUGACGUUAGCGGCGGACGGGUGAGUAACACGUGGAUAACCUACCUAUAAGACUGGGAUAACUUCGGGAAACCGGAGCUAAUACCGGAUAAUAUAUUGAACCGCAUGGUUCAAUAGUGAAAGACGGUUUUGCUGUCACUUAUAGAUGGAUCCGCGCCGCAUUAGCUAGUUGGUAAGGUAACGGCUUACCAAGGCAACGAUGCGUAGCCGACCUGAGAGGCGGAUCGGCCACACUGGAACUGAGACACGGUCCAGACUCCUACGGGAGGCAGCAGUAGGGAAUCUUACGCAAUGGGCGAAAGCCUGACGGAGCAACGCCGCGUGAGUGAUGAAGGUCUUCGGAUCGUAAAACUCGGUUAUUAGGGAAGAACAAAUGUGGAAGUAACUAUGCACGGCUUGACGGUACCUGAUCAGAAAGCAACGGCUAACUACGUG
rnacentral:rRNA from 1 species